CUGAUCUCUUGCACGACAGCCUGCGUGGCUGUGAUACAGCUGGCAGGCAACCAUUCAUUAAUUUUUACAUAAAUAAGUUAAAGUAACAGUGAUUGAAACGGCAGCUAUAUUAAACAUGAUAUAAAUAACCUGACUUACGUAAAGAUGGUUAUAAUGAAAACUCAAAUUCACCUACAGGUUCUGUAACACCUCAUCCAUUAUCUUUUCUUGAAUUGGCAGAAGAGUAUUUUUUUCAUCCUUGAAGUCACCUGUUCAUUUCCUAAAACCAUAAAGAACAGGACAGCAUGUUACUGUAUAUACAUGCAGAUUUCCUGGAUAACACGAGAUCAAUUUCAACACUGAGUUUAUUUUUUUCCAUUUCAAGAAGCAGGUGGUAUCUCCACUAAGUGCUUGCAUGAAUUCAUGAAUUCACAGCUGAUGUAAAUCAGCAAAUCUUCAUUGUCUCCUAUCUAGGUGCAGUAUAACUUCAGGAAAUACCAGGCUCCUCAGAUGAAACCAUCAUACCCUUUUUAUGCAGAAAUUUCACACAAACUUAUCUUGAACAACUUGAAGUGUUUAGGGUUUUUGCACUACAAUGAUGGUAUAGCUACGUCAGAUAAAACAGAAAAAUGUAUUUUAUAUUCAUAUGUAUUACUUAAUACAAGUGCUAUUCCAACCACGCUGCUCAUCCCAGGAACUGAAGUAAUCCACAUCCUCAUGGGAGAAAUUGAAGUCUGGACCAACCCUAGUGCACCUCCCACUCCACAUCCUUGGAGCAAGACAUUCUUCCAUUUUUCUUCAAACUGUAAAUGCUGUAUGAAGCACCGUAACAGAAUAUAUUGCUCCUGCUUUGCUCCAUAACAUCUUAGUAUGUUUCCUGACCACUCCACAAAGAUAUUCCUUCUCUGUGACAACUCUGAGAAGUCAUUCUCUAUCACUGUUGUUUGGAAAUUACUACCUAAGGGAUCAGAAAAUUCAUUUCCAAUGGAUGGGACAGCCUAAAUCUUCAUAAAUUCUGUGAACUUUGCAACUCUGUUACAGACCCAGUUGAACGUCUGGAUGUCUCACAACUUGGAAGAAAUGUUCUCAGUAUGCAUGGUAGAGAAAAUCAAAGGAAAGAACACUCCAACAACUGUUCAUAUAACAAAACAUGAAGAUUAAAAAGUGCCAUGUUUAAAGGAAGAAGAAAGCAAGCAUUUUUUAGUAGCUUAAUCCUUGUUUUGAUAUUUACCAUGUACUCCAUGGAUUUACUGUCAGACUCC
rnacentral:lncRNA from 1 species